UACGUAGGGGGCAAGCGUUGUCCGGAUUUAUUGGGCGUAAAGAGCGUGUAGGCGGCUUGGCAAGUCCGCUGUGAAACUCGAGGCUCAACCUCGAGACGUCGGUGGAAACUGCCUCGCUAGAGUCCGGAAGAGGAGAGUGGAAUUCCUGGUGUAGCGGUGAAAUGCGCAGAUAUCAGGAAGAACACCCGUGGCUAAGGCGGCUCUCUAGUACGGUACUGACGCUGAGACGCGAAAGCGUGGGGAGCGAACAGG
rnacentral:rRNA from 1 species